CGGCGUGCUUAACACAUGCAAGUCGAACGAACCUUCGGGUUAGUGGCGGACGGGUGAGUAACGCGUGAGAAUCUGCCCUCAGGAGGGGGAUAACGGUUGGAAACGACCGCUAAUACCCCAUAUGCCUAUUGGUGAAAUGAAUUUCGCCUGAGGAUGAGCUCGCGUCUGAUUAGCUAGUUGGUGAGGUAAUGGCUCACCAAGGCUUCGAUCAGUAGCUGGUCUGAGAGGAUGAUCAGCCACACUGGGACUGAGACACGGCCCAGACUCCUACGGGAGGCAGCAGUGGGGAAUUUUCCGCAAUGGGCGAAAGCCUGACGGAGCAACGCCGCGUGAGGGACGAAGGCCUCUGGGCUGUAAACCUCUUUUCUCAAGGAAGAAGAUAUGACGGUACUGAGGAAUAAGCCACGGC
rnacentral:rRNA from 1 species